UUUUAUCAGAGAGUUUGAUCCUGGCUCAGGAUGAACGCUGGCGGCGUGCUUAACACAUGCAAGUCGAGCGAAGC
rnacentral:rRNA from 1 species